UGGUCCUUCAUUCAGUUUCCACGUCCUUCCCUAGAUUGGUCUUCUCAAUUCAGUUUUUGCCUCACUGCCGCAUCCAUUCUCUCUAGGCUCUAGCACCGUCUUGCCUCCGGCAAUUGGAGACGAAGCAUCUGGUCAUGGAAAGCCGCAUCAGGACGUUCGGUCCGGUGGUCAUGGCGCACCAUGAUGGUCCGCCGCCUACAGCCGACGCACCGGAGUGCACAGUAGCAAGCACCAGUUUGAGGUGAGGAUAUCGCAUUGGUCUCCUGUUGCUCACAUGCGAGGCCUCGGACGAGCGGCCAAAUCCACGUGAGGUGGAUGUUGCAGGCACGGCCAUCUCCCCUUCCUUCCUUCCUUCUUUUUCCCUCCAACUACCAUGUUAUCUUUACCAUGUCUUCUUUCCUUGUUGUAUUGUUUUUUCACCCAUGGGGAUAGAGAUGUUACCUCAGUCGGCAAUGAAGCCAGUGAUUUGUAUCCAAUAAUUUUCGUUAAUACGGUAACAACUUAUUUCAGUCCACCUGACGGAACGAGUCUCUAUCUGAUGAUGUCAGAACUUACAGAAAGUUUCUAAAAUAAAUUAUGACAUGGUAUUUUUCUUCACUCUUGAUUUGUUCCAUUUGUAUUAUCCGCUCCGCCCUAGGUUCGUCCCCAAAAUUAUAAAAUUUGGAGCCUCCCGUUGAAGGUCCAAGGAGGUGGAAGCAUGAACAAUGCCCUCAUCAAAUCAACUUAAUUGGAUUCGAAUUGAAGGAUGACUUUUGAGAAAAGGUAGUACGUAACUUCAUUUAUAUUAUGCACUUGGUAGGGAUAUUCUCAAGGAAUUGCAAGAUGAUGGGCUAUACACUUCACAUAGCCUGAGACCAUGGUGAGUACAUGGUCUUUUGACUUACUUUCUUUGUAGUUGUUUUACAAAUUGAGGAGGGGUAGCAGAUGGAUGGCAUUGCCAUGCAGAACUGAAAACACUGUUGUAUGACUACAGACUCUUCACUGGAAUAAAAACAGAUGCGUGAGAUGAUAGAUCGGGACAGACAUGCAUGCUCCAAGUUGUGAGCAGUUUUGUUUUUCAGAGAGAUGUUUAUCCUGGAAUGGAAAAAUUUCUUUUGAAUAUUUCUUAAUAUGCCAGUUAUGUGGUGUUUGGUCGGACAUGCGCAUUUGCAGCACCAUGGGGUACUCUUUGGCUGAAGUACAUAUUUUGUAUCUUCUUUGGACCUAAAUCAGACUGUUCAAGUGGUGUUUGCUCAGAACAUGCAGGUGGAGCACCAUGGGAUGCUCUUUUUCUGAGGGAAGCACUAUCUAGGACCGUUUAGACACUACCUAGAAGAGUGUUCUGUCUACAAAGUCAGCUACAAGAGUGUUUUGUCUCAUUUCUCAUUUGACAUAAUGAACUGUGAGUUUGCCAGCCAAAUGUCAUACACAAAGACAUACAGUGUUAAUAGCUGACAAGAAUAUGGACUUCCUUCA